GUUUGCUCUUCCCUAUCACCAUGACACUGCCUUGGCUCAGGGCCUUGGAAUUUCUUGCCUGGAUUAAUGAUUCCCCUUUACCUCAUAUUUAAAUUCUUUUAAUGGUUCAUCAUUUGUAAGUGACAAACCAGAAACUUUUGAAAAUGAACAGAGGUGCUAUUGAUAAUUAUACCGAGAUAAAAGGCAUAAACUGGACCAUUUUUGGCACACUGGGGGGUGUGGCCAUCUUCCUUUUAUCACAAACUUCUACUUCUCUGUGCUUGACUUAACAAAUUGAGGAAAAGUGAAAGCUCUUUAAGGACAGAAACUUCAUUUUCUGGGUUUACCAGAAUCUUAUUUUCUGGGUUACAAGACUUUGUGAACUUAACAAAUCCUCUAGGCCGUCUUUCAUAUAGAUAUAACCUUUUGAUUUCAGGAAAGCUGGAAUUGGACUGUAACCUUCUGACCUUACUCAUACAAAGAGAUCUACCCUGGAUUGUCUUUUCCAAGGCCUGCUCUGUCCACAGGAUAAAUCACAGGCUUACACCUUCUCUGACAAGAAGUCCGAAAUCAUUCUGAUCCUGUUUCUCUGCUUGGCUCCAUCUGGUGGUGUUCAAUCCCUGAGCACCAGAGAGGACCUCUGGGAAGGAGUUUUCAGGUGGGUGCUGUCCUGUAUUGUGUCAGUACUUCCUUCGAAUUUUAUCUGUUAUACUUACAUACACUUUGCCUUUAAAUUCUUGUUACAGAUUUGUCUGUUUACUUUAUCAUUCUGCUAUUUUUUAGGGAUGACAAAAGCCUCAGGUCUUUUCUCCCAUAUAAAAAGUUAAUUAUUUUCUAGAAUUGUGUUCAUUUAAGUUUCUUUGUGCACUCAAUUUUGUGAUGAGUUAAAAAGAAUAAGAGGGGCACCUGGGUGGCACAAUCAGUUAAGCUUAUUACUCUUGGUUUUGGGUUAGGCUGUGCUCUUGGGGUGAUGGGAUCAAGUCCUGUAUCAGGCUCUGUGCUCCUCAUGGAGUCUGCUUGGGAUUUUUUCUCCCUCUGCCCCUUCUCACCACCCCAUGUACACGCUGUCUCUUACUUUCUAAAAUAAAUAAAUAAAUUAAUUUUAAAAAAGAAUAAGA
rnacentral:lncRNA from 12 species